GGGGGCGUGGUCUAGCGGUUUAGGACGUCGGCCUGUCACGCCGAAGAUCGCGGGUUCAAAUCCCGUCGCUCCCG
rnacentral:tRNA from 1 species